AUGAGAGUUAAGGCAGCCUUCUUUAAUAGAACAAAGUUUAUUGUCGGCGAUGGUAACGAUACUCGCUUCUGGGAGGACACUUGGCUUGGUGAGACACCUUUGGCAUUACAGUACCCAACUAUGUAUCGUAUUGUGCAUCGUCGUGAUGCGCUUGUGGCAACGAUUAUGCAGGCCACCCCCCUUAAUAUUCAGUUUAGGAGGGUGCUUGUUGGUAAUAGAUGGGAAGCUUGGCUUCAUCUGGUGUGUAGACUGAUGGAGGUUCAGCUACAGCACCAGCCCGAUCAGUUGUGUUGGAAACUUACUAGGUCUAGACAAUUUACCGUUAAAUCGAUGUACAUCGAUGUUAUUAACUCGAGUGUCAUUCCUAACUCCAAACAUGUUUGGAAAGUCAAAGUUCCUUUGAAAAUCAAAGUGUUUAUGUGGUUUGUCCAUAAACAGGUCAUUCUAACAAAGGACAACUUAGUUAAGCGCAAUUGGACAGGAUCUACUAGGUGUAGUUUCUGUGAUCAGGAUGAAACCAUCAAGCAUCUAUUCUUUGAGUGCCCGUUGGCAAGAAUUUUGUGGCGCUCCGUGCAAAUUGCUUUUAACAUUACUCCUCCGAGUUCGGUCGGGUCGUUAUUUGGAACGUGGCUGGAUGGGAUAGAGUCCGUUACAGCUAGACACAUUCGUGUAGGAGUUUGUGCGUUGUUAUGGGCAAUUUGGAACUGCAGAAAUGAUUUGGCUUUUAACAGAAUAACUACUAUUCAUUUUUUGCAGGUUGUAUUCCGUGCUACGGCGUUGAUCCGUAUGUGGUCCCUACUCACUCCGACGGAGGCCAGGGAGCGUUUGGUUACUGGAUCUGUCCGGUGGGAGAUGGUAGCGCGGGAUAUCUUCAACCGGUUUGGAUGGCGGUCAUGUAAUAGGAUAGGUAAUUAG
rnacentral:rRNA from 1 species